rnacentral:rRNA from 1 species
UACGUAGGGGGCAAGCGUUGUCCGGAAUCAUUGGGCGUUAAAGAGCGUGUAGGCGGCCAGAUAAGUCCGCUGUGAAAACUCGAGGCUCAACUUCGAGCUGUCGGUGGAAACUAUUUGGCUAGAGUCCGGAAGAGGAGAGUGGAAUUCCUGGUGUAGCGGUGAAAUGCGCAGAUAUCAGGAAGAACACCCGUGGCGAAGGCGGCUCUCUGGUACGGAACUGACGCUGAGACGCGAAAGCGUGGGGAGCGAACAGG